rnacentral:tRNA from 2 species
GCCGAAGUGGUGGAAUUGGCAGACACGCUAGCUUGAGGGGUUAGUGGCCGCAAGGCUGUGGGGGUUCGAGUCCCCCCUUCGGCA